rnacentral:rRNA from 1 species
GUCCACGCUGUAAACGAUGGGCACUAGGUGUCCGGGGUAUUGACCCCCUGGGUGCCGCAGCUAACGCAUUAAGUGCCCCGCCUGGGGAGUACGGUCGCAAGAUUAAAACUCAAAGGAAUUGACGGGGGCCCGCACAAGCGGUGGAGCAUGUGGUUCAAUUCGACGCAACGCGAAGAACCUUACCUGGGCUAGACAACGGUGGACAGCCCUAGAAAUAGGGUCUUCCCUUCGGGGACUGCCGGUUCAGGUGCUGCAUGGCUGUCGU